GGAUCCAGACCCUUUUCGUGGCUCAGGAUGAACGCUAGCUACAGGCUUAACACAUGCAAGUCGAGGGGAAACGACAUCGAAAGCUUGCUUUUGAUGGGCGUCGACCGGCGCACGGGUGAGUAACGCGUAUCCAACCUGCCCAUCACUUGGGAAUAACCUUGCGAAUGUAAGACUAAUACCCAAUGACAUCCCACGAAGGCAUCCGAAUGGGAUUAAAGAUUUAUCGGUGAUGGAUGGGGAUGCGUCUGAUUAGCUUGUUGGCGGGGUAACGGCCCACCAAGGCAACGAUCAGUAGGGGUUCUGAGAGGAAGGCCCCCCACAUUGGAACUGAGACACGGUCCAAACUCCUACGGGAGGCAGCAGUGAGGAAUAUUGGUCAAUGGGCGAGAGCCUGAACCAGCCAAGUAGCGUGCAGGAAGACGGCCCUAUGGGUUGUAAACUGCUUUUAUAAGGGAAUAAAGUGAGUCUCGUGAGACUUUUUGCAUGUACCUUAUGAAUAAGGACCGGCUAAUUCCGUGCCAGCAGCCGCGGUAAUACGGAAGGUCCGGGCGUUAUCCGGAUUUAUUGGGUUUAAAGGGAGCGUAGGCCGGAGAUUAAGCGUGUUGUGAAAUGUAGUGGCUCAACCUCUGCACUGCAGCGCGAACUGGUCUUCUUGAGUACGCACAACGUGGGCGGA
rnacentral:rRNA from 1 species